AUCCCAGCUAAAGUUAUUAUAUUUAUCUGAUUCAUGGGAGGCACAUAUUAAUGAUGGCAGUUCGCUGAUAGCACCUUUUGAUUUGAUAAGGUGUUUUGAUAGUCACUCACCAUAAAUUC